rnacentral:other from 1 species
CGUCUCCUGGGAUGCUCGCCAGUCUGGUGUCGUCCUUGAGCCGUUAGAGAAACUACAGGGGAUUUCGGCGACUUCGCCUGUGUGCAUGCCCGCCGUUUGCGGGACGCCUUUGUCGCUGCCCGAGUCUCCGCCUUGAGCCAAUACGGUUCAGGGCCAACCUGUACAGCGGCAUCUCCGGGAGGCAA